rnacentral:rRNA from 1 species
AUGGGCGCAAGCCUGAUCCAGCCAUGCCGCGUGCAGGAWGACGGUCCUAUGGAUUGUAAACUGCUUUUAUACAGGAAGAAACCCUCCCACGUGUGGGAGAUUGACGGUACUGUAGGAAUAAGGAUCGGCUAACUCCGUGCCAGCAGCCGCGGUAAUACGGAGGAUCCAAGCGUUAUCCGGAAUCAUUGGGUUUAAAGGGUCCGUAGGCGGUCUUAUAAGUCAGUGGUGAAAUCCCAUCGCUCAACGAUGGAACUGCCAUUGAUACUGUAAGACUUGAAUUAUUAGGAAGUAACUAGAAUAUGUAGUGUAGCGGUGAAAUGCUUAGAUAUUACAUGGAAUACCAAUUGCGAAGGCAGGUUACUACUAAGUGAUUGACGCUGAUGGACGAAAGCGUGGGGAGCGAACAGGAUUAGAUACCCUGGUAGUCCACGCCGUAAACGAUGGAUACUAGCUGUUCGGAGCAAUCUGAGUGGCUAAGCGAAAGUGAUAAGUAUCCCACCUGGGGAGUACGCACGCAAGUGUGAAACUCAAAUGAAUUGA